rnacentral:rRNA from 1 species
CAGCCGCGCGGGAAUACGUAGGUGGCAAGCGUUAUCCGGAAUUAUUGGGCGUAAAGCGCGCGUAGGCGGUUUUUUAAGUCUGAUGUGAAAGCCCACGGCUCAACCGUGGAGGGUCAUUGGAAACUGGAAAACUUGAGUGCAGAAGAGGAAAGUGGAAUUCCAUGUGUAGCGGUGAAAUGCGCAGAGAUAUGGAGGAACACCAGUGGCGAAGGCGGCUUUCUGGUCUGUAACUGACGCUGAUGUGCGAAAGCGUGGGGAUCAAACAGGAUUAGAUACCCCCGUAGUCCCUGUCUCUUAUACA